AGAGUUUGAUCCUGGCUCAGAAUCAACGCUGGCGGCGUGCCUAACACAUGCAAGUCGAACGCGGUUACCCCGCAAGGGGUAACUGAGUGGCGAACGGGUGAGUAACACGUGGAUAACCUGCCCAGAGGUGGGGGAUAACCCGGGGAAACUCGGGCUAAUACCGCAUAUGACCGAGAGGUCAAAGCGGGCUCGCAAGAGCUCGCGCCAUUGGAGGGGUCCGCGUCCGAUUAGCUAGUUGGUAGGGUAAUGGCCUACCAAGGCGACGAUCGGUAGCCGGCCUGAGAGGGUGAUCGGCCACACUGGAACUGAGACACGGUCCAGACUCCUACGGGAGGCAGCAGUGGGGAAUUUUGCGCAAUGGGCUAACGCCUGACGCAGCAACGCCGCGUGGAGGAUGAAGGUCUUUGGAUUGUAAACUCCUGUCAGCAGGGAAAAAGCGACUCGGCUUAAUACGCCGGGGAGUUGAUUGUACCUGCAGAGGAAGCCCCGGCUAACUCUGUGCCAGCAGCCGCGGUAAUACAGAGGGGGCAAGCGUUAUUCGGAAUUAUUGGGCGUAAAGGGCGCGUAGGCGGUCUGACAAGUGGAAGGUGAAAUCCCUCGGCUUAACCGAGGAACUGCCUUCCAGACUGUUUGACUUGAGACCAGGAGAGGUGAGUGGAAUUCCCAGUGUAGCGGUGAAAUGCGUAGAUAUUGGGAGGAACACCAGUGGCGAAGGCGGCUCACUGGACUGGUACUGACGCUGAGGCGCGAAAGCGUGGGGAGCAAACGGGAUUAGAUACCCUUGUAGUCC
rnacentral:rRNA from 1 species